UACGUAGGGUGCAAGCGUUAAUCGGAAUUACUGGGCGUAAAGCGUGCGUAGGCGGUUGUGCAAGACAGAUGUGAAAUCCCCGGGCUUAACCUGGGAAUUGCAUUUGUGACUGCACGGCUAGAGUGUGUCAGAGGGGGGUAGAAUUCCACGUGUAGCAGUGAAAUGCGUAGAUAUGUGGAGGAAUACCGAUGGCGAAGGCAGCCCCCUGGGAUAACACUGACGCUCAUGCACGAAAGCGUGGGGAGCAAACAGG
rnacentral:rRNA from 1 species